ensembl:snoRNA U3 Small nucleolar RNA U3
AAUUCUAUACUUUGAGGAGCCAUUUUCGUAGUUGGUUGCUAGAGAAGUUUCUCUGAACAUGGAGUGUACCAGAAAGCAUGAGGAGGAAGUGCAGUGCUCUCACCUUAGCUGUGAAAUCGGUUGCUUCAUUGUAACCACCAUUUUUCAUUGAUGGCCCAUCUUCUCUUCCUUUGGGAGAAUAAGAAGGGGAAGAUGCAGUCUGAGUGGU